AUUGAACGCUGGCGGUAGGCCUAACACAUGCAAGUCGAACGGCAGCACAGUAAGGGCUUGCUCUUACGGGUGGCGGGUGGCGGACGAGUUCGGAAUACAUCGGAAUGUACUUUUUCGUGGGGGAUAACGUAGGGAAAUUUACGCUAAUACCGCAUAAGACCUACGGGUGAAAGCCGGGGCUCUUCGGACCUUGCGCGAUUGAAUGAGCCGAUGUCGGAUUAGGUAGUUGGCGGGGUAAAGGCCCACCAAGGCGACGAUCCGUAGCUGGUCUGAGAGGAUGAUCAGCCACACUGGAACUGAGACACGGCCCAGACUCCUACGGGAGGCAGCAGUGGGGAAUAUUGGACAAUGGGCGCAAGCCUGAUCCAGCCAUACCGCGUGGGUGAAGAAGGCCUUCGGGUUGUAAAGCGCUUUUGUUGGGAAAGAAAAGCAGCAGGUUAAUACCCCGCUGUUAUGACGGUACCCUAAGAAUAAGCACCGGCUAACUUCGUG
rnacentral:rRNA from 1 species